AUUGAACGCUGGCGGCAUGCUUUACACAUGCAAGUCGAACGGCAGCACGAAAGAGCUUGCUCUUUUGGUGGCGAGUGGCGAACGGGUGAGUAAUGCAUCGGAACGUACCGAGUAAUGGGGGAUAACUGUCCGAAAGGAUAGCUAAUACCGCAUACGCUUUGAGAAGGAAAGUGGGGGCUCUUCGGACCUCACGUUAUUCGAGCGGCCGAUGUCUGAUUAGCUAGUUGUGGGGUAAAGGCCUACCAAGGCGACGAUCAGUAGCGGGUCUGAGAGGAUGAUCCGCCACACUGGGACUGAGACACGGCCCAGACUCCUACGGGAGGCAGCAGUGGGGAAUUUUGGACAAUGGGCGCAAGCCUGAUCCAGCCAUGCCGCGUGUCUGAAGAAGGCCUUCGGGUUGUAAAGGACUUUUGUUAGGGAAGAAAAGGAUAGUGUUAAUACCAUUAUCUGCUGACGGUACCUAAAGAAUAAGCACCGGCUAACUACGUG
rnacentral:rRNA from 1 species